UACAGCUCAGUUGGUAGAGUGUUUGCCUCACAUGCACAAGGCCCUGGGUUUAAUCCCCAGUA
rnacentral:tRNA from 1 species